AACAAGGCGUACCUGCGGACCUGCGGAGGGAUCAUUACCGAGUGUGAACCCCCCCGUAAAAAAGAGGGGUUACCUCCCGUCCUUUGCUGGGAACCCCUUUCCAACUUGGAAGGAGGUUGUUUUCAGACCCUUCUGCUUCGGUGGGGUAACCCACCGGAACAACCUCAAAAAUAUUCUCAAUUCAAAACCGUUCAGUCCGAGAACUUUUUUGAAAAGCGAAAAAACUUUUAGCAAUGGAUC
rnacentral:misc_RNA from 1 species